rnacentral:rRNA from 1 species
UACGUAGGGGGCAAGCGUUGUCCGGAUUUAUUGGGCGUAAAGAGCGUGUAGGCGGCUUUACAGGUCCGUUGUGAAAACUCGAGGCUCAACCUCGAGACGCCGGUGGAAACCGUAAAGCUAGAGUCCGGAAGAGGAGAGUGGAAUUCCUGGUGUAGCGGUGAAAUGCGCAGAUAAUCAGGAGGAACACCCGUGGCGAAAGCGGCUCUCUGGGACGGUACUGACGCUGAGACGCGAAAGCGUGGGGAGCAAACAGG